GGCCCAAUAUAUGUUAUCUGAGGGACUCAAUGACGACUUCAUACCUGCUAGUGAACGGUGGAUCUAGCUUAACUAAGAAGUGGAGCAAUAUAUGUUAUCUGAGCUCUCAUGACUCAAAAAUCAAGUCGCUGUAUUAUGCUUAGAGAAGUAUUUGGGCAAAGAGUUGCCUAUGCAUCGAUGUGCGUGUCAUCAAUAACUAUUAAAUGAGGUACAUGGCA
rnacentral:lncRNA from 1 species